rnacentral:lncRNA from 1 species
UUGCUUCUAAAUGUAUAUGGACCAGAUUGCAUGACUAUAUCUCUGUCUUCAGCAUUAUUGAAUCGAAAAAUACAAUAACCUUCAGCACGCAUAAGGAUUUGAGGCUUAGUAACAAAAUUCCAAAUAUGGCUAACAAAGUUUUCCAUAUUUUGUUCACUAGGUCGAUCUCCAAUUACAAAUUCAAUCAGUGCAUUCUUCCAAUACUCUUUUUGUGGUUGUAGAUCUUCUUCACAAAUCUGCACUA